GGACGGUGGGCGCGCAGAGACCCCGGGGCCCCCUCGCGAGGCGCUCGGCCGAGCCGCGGCCUGUGGAGCCGCUGCGUCCCCGGGGCUGUCUGAGGAAGCCGCCCGAGCUCCGCGUCUCGGGCCCGGCCUCGCCCCGGGAUCCCCGCCCCGGGCCGGGUUUCGGUGAACGCUGUGGCGGCUCUGGCUCUGCCCGCUCCGGCCCACCUGGCCGCCCCCGCCCGCGGCUCACCUGGCGCCCGCUGGCUCCGGGAACGCGCGCGGCCGGGCCUCUGGCUCGCAGGUCGGCCGCGUCCCGGCCCUCGGCCCCGCCGCCCCCGCGCGCUGCAGUGGGGCCGGCUCAGGGCCAUCUUGCGCUUCACGGUGCGCCGCUGGAAUAGGGCCACUGCGCUGUCCCCCCGUCCCCAAAACUUUGCAGGGUGUCUGCGUGGGAGGGGCGGGGGGUUGCGAGGCCCUGGGCCACCUGUAAGGUGGGGAGACAGCCAUUGGCCCCGGAGAGGCGUUUCGACCCAGGCCCGAGAUGUGUCUUAUCCUCGCAUGCAGAAAAGAAAAAUCAGAUAAAAAUAGAAGACCGAGUUGGGCUGAAAGGGAGAGAGAUUCAGGAAACCGAAUGGCAGAGGUCAAAGUGAUCAUGUCUGGGCAUCUGAGGCAGCUCCCCUGUAAUGGCCUUUCCUCACCGGGAGGCCUUAGGAGCUCUGUGUGGGAUUUGACAGGGGGUGUUGUGAAAAUAACAGGCCCGAGUCCAUUUCUUAGGUUUAUUGGGGGGAUUGACACAGGCAAGCCCAGAAAUCUCUUGACAACUUUAGCAAACGACUUAUGUUGAAUUAUUAGAGUCGUUUGGAUAUCUUUGGUAUCAGUAUGAUACCAACUCUUCAUAAAGCGCUCCUUGUGUCUAAUGAAGUUCAACAGAUUAUAUGUUGAAAAUUUCGUGUUUAUGCCAGCAUACCAUGAUUUGGGCAGCAGAAAUACGAUCUGUAUUUACAUCCCUUCCCAUAAGAAACAUUUAUGGGAUAGUAUAUAAACAGAUUGAGCAUUUCAUUCAGAAGAUAUAUUCUGUACAGGUCCUAAGCUAAUUAAUUCAAAUUUAGUUAGUUAUUGGAUGCCUGCUAUGCUCCAUACAAAAUACAAGAUGGAUUUUCUUCAUCUCACACCUUUACUGUUUGUUAAGAUAAUUUGGGGUUCUCAUCUCUUUUGCCCUGUCCACAGUGGGUGACUUAAAGUUUAAAUAUUUUAAGGGUAGAGACAGAGCCUGAUUUGAGCUCAAUCCCUGGGAUAUACAUGGCAGGAGAGAACUGAUUUUCUCAAGUUGUCCUCUGACCUCUACCCUUGAAUACACAAUAAAUAACUCAGUAAAACAAUGAAUAUAUUUCAGGUGUGUGUGUAUGUGUGUGUGUGUUUUGAGAGACGUGGCUGACCGUUUGAAAAAUCUGUAUACAUUUUUUUUUCUUGUUCAGAAAAUCUUGAGCAGCUGCUUAGAGCCAGCGUAGAGCUCCCUUUUGAGUGUGUAGAGACUAGUGAACCCAGUGUCUCACCUCUGAUGGAGCUGCUUAGAGCCAGCGUAGAGCUCCCUUUUGAGUGUGUAGAGACUAGUGAACCUAGCUGUCUCACCUCUGAUGGAGCAUGUCCCUUUGAGGAUGCAGGAGGGAAGACAUGGAGGUAAACAAGAAAUGGCUUAAGAAAAAUGAAGGCAACGGGCUGGGUUUUGUGAUAGAAGAUUACAGGGCCAUCUCCUUGAUAAGAUGACAGAGAAAGCCUAUCUGGAAAGAACAGAGAUGGGGCCUAGGCAAUGAGAACAGUGAAGAGGGCAGACCAUCUAGGAACUCUGAGUCACAUGGUCAGGAAUUCUGAUGUUUACUGUCCAUCUCUGCUUUUUGAUAUCUGGAACUCUACUUAAAGGGGCCCUAAACUGUCUUAGAAUUAUUGCUGAAUUUUUAAAAGACCUACCAGAGAGAGGUGGUGGGGGUGCGGAGAGGGGAAGAGGGGGGUGUUUUGCAUGUAUGUAUGUAUGUAUGAACACCACAUGGUUGGUGCUGGAAAGGUCAGAAGAUGUCAUCAAACCCCUGGGGCUGGCUUUGCAGAUGGCUCUGAGCUACCAAGUGGGUGCUGGAAAUCAAACCUGGCUCCCUUGCAAAAGCAACUAGUGUUCUUAAGCCCUGAGCCACUUCUUGAGACCCUGUUUUGUUUUUGUUUUUAUCUUUACUGAUAUAUACUGAUAUAUCUUUCCUUGAGGCAGGAACAUGAUAGUUAUAUCCUGUGUUUUGAACUUGUUUUGAUUGCUCAGAAUAAAGAAAUGCUUGAAAUGUUUAAGGUGCUGUGUAGCAUAAUCUGAAUUAGCAAACUUGAGUUUAAGUAGCAAAUUAUUUUUUUCUAGGUUUGAGCUAAACUACCCCUCCCCCCCCCCUUUUUUUUACUGGUGUCUUUUUUUUCUUCUUCACAUCAUCAUCAUUUUUUUUUAAAGAUUUAUUCAUUUUGUGUAUGUGAGUACACUGCUGCUUUUCAGACAUACCAGAAGAGGGCAUCGGACCUCAUUACAGAUGGUUGUGAACCACCAUGUGGUUGCUAGGAAUUGAACUCAGGACCUCUGGAAGAGCAGUCAGUGUUCUUAACCGCUGAGCCAUCUCUCCAGCCCUACCAGUGUUUUUCUUCGGAUUUAUUUUUAUUUAUUCUUUUUGAGAUGACUUCUUCCUGUGUUUUCCAGGCUGCCUCCCAUUUCAUAAUCUUGCUAUCCAAAAGACUGCCUUUCUUGGAGUUGUUCAUGGUCAGGUCUUACUGACCAGCAGAUUCAGGAGUAGGACAGGGUUAGAGUUCAGCAGUCAUUGACUGAUAUCCAGGAGGAUAGGUACUUUGCACAGCUUGACAUCUGUGACCCAACUGUGAUACAAAGUUGGAAACAUUAUUUCCAUUAUAUUGUAAUGCUCAAUGGCCAGAACCUUGGUCAUCCUCAUCCCAACUCAACCAGGACUCAAGGUUUUUGUGAGUAUAGUGUUUAGCCUCUCUAAACAUCUGUUUCUUACUUGGAAAGUAAGAAUAGUGCGUAUCCCACAGGUACAAGGAUAAUGUACACAAAGCAUGGGACCUGGCAUACCGUGAAGAUGCCAUGCAUGUUGGCCAUCAACAUUCUCAUCUGUUAUUUCCACUGGACCCUGUUUCUUUACCCCUGUGUCCCUAGCCUCUUGUGACCAACUUACACAUUUCCUUUCUAGACUUUAUUGUGUGUGGGUUGGACACUUCUAACCUGUUGAUGUCACUAUUUUUCACUACUAAGGGACCCAAUUUUUAGAAUUCCAGAGAAGAGUUUGUUCAACUUCAAACUCUUAAAACCUUGUUUUCUGGAUCAGGGAUUCUCAAAUGAUGAUAAUGCUGUUUGUUGUGUUUGAGGUACUCUUGUAGUUGUAAAUAGGCUGUGGGAUGUGGGUAGCUGGAAUGGGAAUUAUAGCAGCUUUGGCUUCUUAACAGUCAUCAUUUGUUCAUUUCGUUACAUUUUCACAGAGCAGUUGUACUUCUUAUUUGGCUAUUGUUAAAGCAUUCUUCCCACAGAGUCUCAGCUAAUAGAGAAUAGUAGCUGAUUUUGCUAUUACUCAUAUGUUUGAGCUUUCAUUCAUUCUGACUCACUUUGUUUUUGAACUUCCUCAUGUCCAUAUAGAGACGUAUAAACAUUUACAAGCUGAAUAUGCUCUCCCAUCCCCACCCCCAUUCUUCCUUUGAUUAUUUGGUGAGUAAAACUAUCAAAAUGUAGAUCUGCUUGCAAGUUGGGUAAAUAGUAUUAUAAAAAUAUAUUAGACAUUAGGAUAUGCCUUCUUUUGAGUAAGAAAAAAUAUUCAAAUGAGCUAUUAUUAAAUUGUCCUUAAUUCUUAAUAUUUAGUUAGAAAUUGAAAACAUUAUUUCCCCAAUAAUUAAGAGUUUGAAAAACCACUUCAUUGAUAAUUUGUCAUCACAGAUAAAUUUAACUGAGGUUUCUUGCAUGGUAUGGUAGAGACUUUCUAGUGGUAUCUUGAAAAAGCCCACGAAUUUAGCCAAGUUAGUGAAAGCAUAUCAGGUGCUCAAUCUCAGGUGAGCUGGGUAUAAGUCGAAGACCUAAUGUUCCAUAAAGUCACCAUGGGCAUGUUAGAGAAUAGCAAAUAUUCUGGGGAAGAAAGCGUUCCAGCUGAGAGUUGAGCAACUUCAGCAAUGAAAACACUGCAUGCUGAUUUCUUCUGUGCUAGUGGCUUUACCUCUGCAUAGAGCAAUGCCUUAGGAACAAGAGUUCAAAGUUGAAAGGAUGCUGCAUUUACACUAGGAAAAACCAAGGUUUAGAGUGUGCCUUUUGCACACUCUGCACCCUUGGGAAAAGACCAGAUUUUUUAUAAUUUCCCAUAAUUUCUCAUCUAUUAAAAGAGAAGAUACAUAGCUUAUAUAGAGACUGUUUUAAAAAUCACAUUAGUGCAUGUGAAAUGUCUUAUAUCAUAAAAUACUAUGAAAUGUAAAGAUUAUUAGAAAUGAUAUUUACCUGUUUUAGCGGCUGGUCAUUUAAUAUGUAGUGAAUUUAAAAGAUUCUUAAAAUAUGAUACAUUGAAUUUAUUAUAAAGCCUUAAGGAGACUGGGGAGAUGACGCAGUCUGUAAAGUGCCUGCUGCAUAAGCAUGAGCCCCUGAGUUUGGGUCCCCACAGCCACGUAAAAAGCAGGGCCUGGCGGAGUGCAUCUAUAGCUCUAACCCUGGGAGUGAAGUACAAAAAGAUUUCUGGAGCUUGCUGGUCAGCAGGCUCAGUGAGAAAUGCUGUCUCAAAAAAUAAGUUGGACAACAAUUGAAGAAGAUAGUGUAUAUUGCCUUGUGGUUUAUAGAUGCACUUACAUCUGAAUGCAUAGAUGGACAUACAUAAUAAAUUAAAAAAGAAGGCUGUGAAAAAAACCAGAGCCUUAAACUUGAGUAAUCGAGAAAUAUCUCUUUAAAAGUGCUUUUUUCAAAGUGAUCAGCAUAGCUAAACUUACUUAUGUAUUUACUUGUUUAUAUAGAUAGGGUCUUGCCCUGUAUGGGGCACUUGUGUAAUUCUUAUAAGGAUUGCGUCUACAAGCAUGUAGCAGCUUACCCAGCUUAGAAUCCCAUUGGUUUUGAACAGCGCUGAGCCAUUUGUAGAGUACUUUCUGUACAGUUAGCUAGAGCAUAAAUGGAUGCUUGAUUUUCUUAGUGUAUUGAUCUAAUGUAAUUCUUCUCCUUAAAUCUUAAGUAUGACUGUAUAGCAUGUGAUUAAUGCCCAUUCUUGGAUAAGCAUUUUAUAUAUGGCAGUUUAAGUAAAAAUAUAAGUAAGAACAUAAACUUUAAAAUGUCCUGAAGGUUGUCUUUUAAGAGAAAAUGGGGAUUUAAAAUCACUCUGCUUUUUCUCUUCCUUGCAAUAUUUAAAUAUAUAAACAAAUACCAAAAAAAAAAAAAAUCCUGUUUUUGAUUUAGUAUGUGGUCUAAAGAACCGAACUUGGGAUUGGACAUGUAGCUGAGUUGGUAGAGUACAACCUGAUGUGCAAGAAGCCGUGGGUUCUAGCCCCAGCACCAUGUAAACGGAGUGUAAUACAUGCUGCGAUCCAGUGCUGGGAUGUGAAGGCAGAAGGGACGAAUAGAAGCUCGGAAUCAUCCUCCACUAAAUAAUGACAUGGUGAAAGGAGUCCUAAGAUCAGCUAAACUGUGGUGACACUGCAAAGGAGCAUCAGCCGGUAGUUAACACUGCCAAGUGAGCCUUUCAAAGGAGAGCACAGACAUGAGCAGCUUGACUCUUCAGGAACAGCACGUUGUUCCCACCACUAGGGAAGAGGACAGAAGUGGAUAAUGCACAAACCUUUUACAGCUCUAUUGUAUUUCAUCUUACUCAAAAUUGCUGGAACAAUUUUUUUAAAAGAAUAAGAAAAGUGUUGCUACAUGUAUUUGUCUGUGCACACAUUUGGGGGUGAGGUGGGGGUUGUACACACUAAUAAAUAGCAUCCUUAUAUGUAUUGAGUGUGUGACUUUGCCAAGAAAUGACAUUAUUAAAUGUCUCUUCUGAUUGUUUUUA